rnacentral:tRNA from 1 species
CCCUCGGUGGUGUAAUCGUGUAAUGCGUUUGGCUGCUAACCAAAUGGUCGGAGGUUCAAGUCUACCCGGAGGCA